GAGCUUGCUCCUUUGACGUUAGCGGCGGACGGGUGAGUAACACGUGGGUAACCUACCUAUAAGACUGGAAUAACUCCGGGAAACCGGGGCUAAUGCCGGAUAACAUUUAGAACCGCAUGGUUCUAAAGUGAAAGAUGGUUUUGCUAUCACUUAUAGAUGGACCCGCGCCGUAUUAGCUAGUUGGUAAGGUAACGGCUUACCAAGGCAACGAUACGUAGCCGACCUGAGAGGGUGAUCGGCCACACUGGAACUGAGACACGGUCCAGACUCCUACGGGAGGCAGCAGUAGGGAAUCUUCCGCAAUGGGCGAAAGCCUGACGGAGCAACGCCGCGUGAGUGAUGAAGGGUUUCGGCUCGUAAAACUCUGUUAUUAGGGAAGAACAAACGUGUAAGUAACUGUGCACGUCUUGACGGUACCUAAUCAGAAAGCCACGGCUAACUACGUGCCAGCAGCCGCGGUAAUACGUAGGUGGCAAGCGUUAUCCGGAAUUAUUGGGCGUAAAGCGCGCGUAGGCGGUUUCUUAAGUCUGAUGUGAAAGCCCACGGCUCAACCGUGGAGGGUCAUUGGAAACUGGGAGACUUGAGUGCAGAAGAGGAAAGUGGAAUUCCAUGUGUAGCGGUGAAAUGCGCAGAGAUAUGGAGGAACACCAGUGGCGAAGGCGACUUUCUGGUCUGUAACUGACGCUGAUGUGCGAAAGCGUGGGGAUCAAACAGGAUUAGAUACCCUGGUAGUCCACGCCGUAAACGAUGAGUGCUAAGUGUUAGGGGGUUUCCGCCCCUUAGUGCUGCAGCUAACGCAUUAAGCACUCCGCCUGGGGAGUACGACCGCAAGGUUGAAACUCAAAGGAAUUGACGGGGACCCGCACAAGCGGUGGAGCAUGUGGUUUAAUUCGAAGGCACGCGAAGAACCUUACCAAAUCUUGACAUCCUUUGACCACUCUAGAGAUAGAGCUUUCCCCUUCGGGGGACAAAGUGACAGGUGGUGCAUGGUAGUCGUCAGCUCGUGUCGUGAGAUGUUGGGUUAAGUCCCGCAACGAGCGCAACCCUUAAAUUUAGUUGCCAGCAUUU
rnacentral:rRNA from 1 species